CAUAAAUAUAUAUAUAUAUAUAAUCAUUUUUUUUAAUUGAUUGUUUUAUGAUAACAAAUAUUAUGCGUGUACAAUUGUAUACACACAUAUACACAUAUAUACACAUAUAUACGCAUAUAUACACAUAUAUACACAAAUAUACACAAAUAUACACAAAUAUACACAAAUAUACACAGAUAUACACACUCUUUUACAUUUUUCUUUUUCAUGAUGGCUCUUACAUUCUAGCGCCUUAUUACUAAUAACUAUUAAUGUAGAAUUUUUUUGCACAAAAUAAAAUUAAUAUAAUAAUAGUAGCACUAAUAUUAUAUACAUAUUACAUUUAACAAUUUAAAAAAAAAAAAAAAAAAUCAUUUCUUGUUCUGUUUUUCUAAAAAAAAAUUUAUUUAUGAUUCCAGCGUUAAAAUGUGUACAAUAUUGUAUGUAUUAUAAGUGUUUGUAUAUACAUCUAUAUAUACAUAUAUAUAUAUAUAUAUAUAUAUAUAUAUUUAAAUAUAUAAAGAUUUUUUUUUUUUUUUUUUUUUCUUACAUAUUCGUAUAUAUAACCAAUUAACAUGCCUUUAUCCAGUCGUACUAUUAGAUGUUUAUUCAUGUUUGUUGAUGUUUAAUUAUGUUAUAAUGUGCUGGUUUAUUUUUUUUUGCUUUUUUACUCGAUGAAACAUAAAAUAUGUUUAUUUUAAUUAUUUCGUGUGAUACAUAAUAUGUAUUUAUUUUCAUACAAAUAUACGUUUAACAUUUGUGUUUUUCAGUUUUAUAUUAUUAUUAUAUGCUUUAUUAUUUUUCUUAAAUUUAUGAUUAUCGUUUUUAAUUUUUUUAUUAUUUGUUUUUUAUAACUUAUUCAGAUGUAGAAUCAAAAAAAAGUAGUGGCGCUAAAAACACUAAAUCGUCACAAAAUAGGAAAAGCACGAAGAAAAAGAACAUAAUUCUGGGAAACAGUAAAACGCACACAAAAGUUGAUACAAAAGUGGAUACAAAAGUGGAUACAAAAGUUGAUACAAAAGUUGAUACAAAAGUUGAUACAAAAGUUGAUACAAAACCUGAUAAUAUAAAAAUGAAUUCAAAAAUAAAUACACUAAAUACUUUGGACAAAGACACGGAGGUGUACAAGGGUACAAUUAAAAAGAGUGAUAGCAUAGUUUCGCUCAAGCCAAAAGAAAAUCAAAAGAAAAAGAAAGAAAAACAAAAAGGAAAAAAGAUAGAUGCUAGUAAUAGUAGUUAUAAUGAUAGUAUUAAUAACUUUGAUAAAUUUAGUCACAGUAACAACGGUAGUACCAGUUUUGAUGGUAACACUACUAGCUUUCAUGUUAAUACAGAUAUAAUUGUAAAUGAGAUAGAAACAACGGCAGUUAUGGAAAAAGAUGUAGACACUAAUCAACUCGACGGUUGUACUAAUACGGACAAUUUAAAUAGUAACAAUAUGAAUAAAAAAAAUGCUAUUGAAAAUAAAAUUAGUGCAACUGAAAUUAGUAAUGCAAAUAUGAUAACUAAUAAUUCUAAUAAAAAAAAAAAACAAAAAAGUGUAAAAGAAAAUGUUGGUAUUAGUAAAAACAGAAAGCGAAAAAAAGAAGUAGUUACAAAUAAGAACAACAACAAUGAAGGCACAAAUAACAACCACGACAGAAGUAACGAUAAAAACAAAGACACAAAUAACGAUAAAAACAAAGACACAAAUAACGAUAAAAACAAAGACACAAAUAACGACAAAAAUAGCAACGACAAAAAUAACAACGACAAAAAUAGCAACGACAAAAAUAACAACGACAAAAAUAACAACAACAAAAACAAUAGCAAUGACGUCGUAGAUGAAGUUACAUCAAAACGCAUGAGGAAAAGAAGUGCCAAAUACUUUAAUGAUUACAUGCUGGUGGAUGAUAAGGAAGAAACUUUUUUUAGUUAUAUUAACAAUGCUGAUAUGAUGUCUUAUAAUGUAAUAAAUUUAAUAAAAAAUACAGAUGAAUUAACAAAUAAUAAAACAGAAAAUGAUUGUGAACAGUUGAGCUAUUAUGGUACUGACAAAAUAGAUAGCAUUGAUAAUAGUUCUUAUGAAUUAAAAACAAAAUCAAAUCAUAAUAAGUACGUAAAGGUUAAGGGUGUUAAAAACUUAAGUCGCAAUCUUAAUAAGAAACCUAAGUUAAAAAAAAAAAAAAAAAAUUUAAUUAAUGAAAAAAACACACACCAGCAUGAUAAUAACAAUACGGAUAUUAUAAAUAAUAUAAAUAAUAAUGAUAAUAUAGAUAAUAUAAAUAAUAAUAAUAUAGAUAAUAUAAAUAAUAAUAAUAUAGAUAAUAUAAAUAAUAAUGAUAAUAAUAGUACUGUUAUGAAGAACGUAUCGGAUGUAGUGGGAAAAACAUUAAAUGGUUAUGCAAAUUUAAAUAUACGCAAAGCCGAAUAUUAUAAAUUUAUAAAUAGUAUAACAGCAGAUAUAAGGAAAAAUGAUAAUAUCACACUGACCGGUACAAAGAAGAAGUUACAUAUUGAGAACGUUAAAGAAAACGAAGUAGUUAAUCCUAUGGACACGUCAACACUUGGUAAUACUAAUGAUAGUAUUAUUAAUAUUACUCAUGCAAUUGUUUCUGAUAGUGUUAAUUGUAGUACUGCUACUACUACUACUAAGAAAAAAAAGUAUAAAACAAAAAAAAAGUUAAAAAUAAAAAAGACAGCCAGUACUGAUGCAAUUAAUGUUAUAACUGCUGAUAUAACUGGCAGUAUAACUUGUGAUGUGGCACAUGUUAUGGAAUCACCAAACGUAUACACCGACUUGAAUAUAGGUUCCGUUGCAGUACAAACACAAACACAAACACAAGCACAAACACAAGCACAAACACAAACACAAACACAAACACAAACACAAACACAAACACAAACACAUACACAAACACAAACACAAACACAAACACAAGCACAAACACAAGCACAAACACAAACACAUACACAAACACAUACACAAACACAUACACAAACACAAGUACAAGUACAAGAACAAGAACAAGAACAAGCACCUGUCGUAAAAAAGAAAAGAGGAAGAAAAAAAAAAAUCGUACCUAAUGCUAUACCAUAUAUAACAACAGAUAAUAGUGCUACUGGUAAUGCACAAACAAAUAUUAUAAGUGAGAAUAUGUUGGGAACUGAUUAUGGUGUAGUACUAGCAUUGAAUACUGUUAGAACCGAAUUAACAGAAACUAUUGGCCCAUUAAGGUCAGUAAAAUCUGUAUUAAAACCAGCAACUGGUAGUAUAACUAAUUAUAGCGAUAAACAUGGUGUGCAAUUAAUUAAUAAAGUAAAAGAUGAAAAACAACAUGUAAAAGAAUUCAAUGACGAUCGUUCUAAUUAUAUAUAUUAUCAACCAUACACCAAAAGAAAGUAUAAAAAAAAAAAAAAAAAAAAUAAUAACAGUAGCAAAAAAUAUAAAAAAAGUAAAGUGAAAAAAACGAUAAGUAAAAAUACAAAAAAACUAGAUUCCUUUAGUAAUAUUAUUAACAAAAAUAUAAAUUGUGAUAUGCAAUUAACAAAUGAAAACGAAUCGAUUCAUGAUGUAUAUAUGUAUGGCCUCGAUUUUGAAGAUGAUAAAAAUAACACUCUCCAUAUAAAUAACUCUCUAAGAUUAUUUCCCAAAGAAAAGUUUCAAAUGAAAUAUGAAUUUUUAGAAAAUGUAAAUAACUUAAACACUGUGUUUAAUUUUAAUAAUGAAUUUUUACUUUUUUUAUGUAACGUUAGUAAAAGUGAAGAUAUAAAUUAUGAUACGAUGUUAUCAUUUUUAGAUGAAAUACAAAGAAAAUUAAGUAAUUAUAUAGAAAAAAAUUAUACAAAUAUAUUUUUGCAAACACAUAAUGUCGAUGACACUGUUACUAUUAUCGAUUAUAUAAUUAAUAUACUUUUUAAUGAAGUAUCACAUGUGAAGUCGAAUGGAUUUGGCACUUUUGAAUAUCUUGCUACUGAAAAUUGUUUAAAAGUUGAAAAUGGGGAUGAUGGUAAUAGUGGUGAGUACGGAGAGAGGGGCAAGCGGGGCGAACAAAACGAACAAAACGAACAAAACGAUAGCGAAAUCACGAUUGAUAGAACAAGUGUUAUACCACCAUCAGCCGCUUUGCUAAAAUCUAAUGACCGAGACGAAGAACAAUGCGCACAAAUCGACUAUCCCGACAACGAGCUAUUUUAUGACACAUUGGGUGAAAAAAAGGAAUCUUAUAAAAGUUUCUUUCAAGCAGCUUUAGCUAAUAAGUUAUCACAAGAUUAUAAUAAAACUACUACAACUACAACUACAGCUACAGUUACAGAGACAGCUACAAUUACAGAUACAACUAUAGCUGCAACUGCAACUACAACUGCAACUACAACUGCAACUACAACUGCAACUACAACUNNNNNNNNNNCAACUACAACUGCAACUACAACUGCAACUACAACUGCAACUACAACUACGGAUACAGCUACAGAUACAGCUACAGAUACAGCUACAAACGAAUGUGCAAAUGACAACACUUUUACCGAAACCAGUAAUGCUAAUAAUAAUAUUGAAAACCAUUUGGUCGAUACAAGUUCAUAUUGCACAAAAAACAAUGCAUAUGAUAAUACAACGGAAAAUAUGAUAUAUAGUAAUGAAGAUGAACAAAGAACAAAUUAUUUUUAUGCUGAAAACCUAAAUUUUGCUUGUGAUAAAUUAGAUGAACUUAUAAAAAGUACAAUACACCAUGAAAAUAUAACAUAUGGUAAUGAUUUUUUAUAUAAUAAAUAUCAAAACAUGAGUGAAAAAGAUUUAUAUAAAAAUUAUAUAUCGACUAAAUUGUUUAAAUAUGAUAAUUAUAUGAAUGAAUACAAAAAGGAGGGUAAAGAAGAGAACUUAUUUAUAACUAACAAAUUUACGUAUGAUCAAACAAGUACAGAAAAUCAUACGAUUAUAAACGACAAUAAUGGUGAAAAUGUUUGUAUACAAAACUUAAAGAUGUUUUUUAAAAAAAUGAACUAUAUUGGUAAUGUUGAUACUGCAGAGGAUUAUAACAGAG
rnacentral:lncRNA from 1 species